rnacentral:rRNA from 1 species
UUGAACGCUGGCGGCAUGCUUUACACAUGCAAGUCGCACGGUAACAGGCCGCAAGGUGCUGACGAGUGGCGAACGGGUGAGUAAUGCAUCGGAACGUGCCCAGUCGUGGGGGAUAACUACUCGAAAGAGUAGCUAAUACCGCAUACGAUCUAUGGAUGAAAGCGGGGGACCGUAAGGCCUCGCGCGAUUGGAGCGGCCGAUGUCAGAUUAGGUAGUUGGUGGGGUAAAGGCUCACCAAGCCAACGAUCUGUAGCUGGUCUGAGAGGACGACCAGCCACACUGGGACUGAGACACGGCCCAGACUCCUACGGGAGGCAGCAGUGGGGAAUUUUGGACAAUGGGCGCAAGCCUGAUCCAGCAAUGCCACGUGCAGGAAGAAGGCCUUCGGGUUGUAAACUGCUUUUGUACGGAACGAAACGGCUCUGGUUAAUACCCGGGGCUAAUGACGGUACCGUAAGAAUAAGCACCGGCUAACUACGUG